GUCCUUCUUUUUUUUACAGCAAGCGCGAGCGGGCCGGGAAGCGAGCGGGACGGAGGCUCGUGGAGCUGGGGCUCCCCCUCCUCUUUCUUGCGCGUGCGGGCAGGCCGAGGGCAUUGGCCCGUCAGGCUUGGCCUCUUUUCUCUUUUUUUAUGUGGGCUGGCCGAAGGCUGGGAGGCUUGGCCUCUUUCCUGCACCCGCGCGAGUUGAGCGGCCCAAGGAGCUUGGCUCCCCCUCUUUUUUUCUGUUUUGCUUGCUAGUCACUUUGAGAUUUUCCCGUAUUCCUUCCAACCAUUGUCGAAUAUUUGUUCGUGUAGGUG
rnacentral:lncRNA from 1 species